GACGAACGCUGGCGGCGUGCUUAACACAUGCAAGUCGAACGGAAAGGCCCUGCUUUUGUGGGGUGCUCGAGUGGCGAACGGGUGAGUAACACGUGAGUAACCUGCCCUUGACUUUGGGAUAACUUCAGGAAACUGGGGCUAAUACCGGAUAGGAGCUCCUGCUGCAUGGUGGGGGUUGGAAAGUUUCGGCGGUUGGGGAUGGACUCGCGGCUUAUCAGCUUGUUGGUGGGGUAGUGGCUUACCAAGGCUUUGACGGGUAGCCGGCCUGAGAGGGUGACCGGCGACAUUGGGACUGAGGUAAGGCCGAGACUCCGAGGGGAGGCAGCAGUGGGGAAUUUUGACCAAUGGGCGGAGGCCUGAUGCAGAAACGCCGCGUGCGGGAUAACGGCCUUCGGGUGGUAAACCGCUUUCGCCUGUGACGAAGCGUGAGUGACGGUAAUGGGUAAAGAAGCACCGGCUAACUACGUG
rnacentral:rRNA from 1 species